rnacentral:rRNA from 1 species
AUUGAACGCUGGCGGCAGGCCUAACACAUGCAAGUCGAACGAGUGGCGGACGGGUGAGUAAUGUCUGGGAAACUGCCCGAUGGAGGGGGAUAACUACUGGAAACGGUAGCUAAUACCGCAUACCAUCGGAUGUGCCCAGAUGGGAUUAGCUAGUAGGUGGGGUAACGGCUCACCUAGGCGACGAUCCCUAGCUGGUCUGAGAGGAUGACCAGCCACACGGGACCUGCGGCACGCUCCAGACGCCAACGGGGGGCAGUGGGGGGAAAUAUUGCACAAUCAGCGCGAGCCUGAGGCAGAGGCGCCGCGUGCGGAAUGACGGCCUUCGGGUUGUAAACCGCUUUAGGCCAUGACGCGGUAGUGGCAGAAGAAGCACCGGCUAACUACGUGCCAGCAGCCGCGGUAAUAC